GGUCUAUCAUGGAGCGCCACACAGCCAUGAAGGAUUAUCCUGUGAAACACCAACUCUGUGGUUAACCACACACCCUAUUACCCAAGCAACCGGGGUCAGCACCUCUACUCAUAAGUCACCCUAACACCAUGAAUCUUGGGAUGUGACACACCAGGAAGGACAGUGUCACUUCUGUUGUUCUCAAUGGAACUGCAAGAAAAAGAGAGAUAAAUCCAAAUAGUCGAGUGUGCAGAAUAACCAACCACCCAGCGCUCUUUAAGACAAAGAUCAAGGACUCAGUGACGGGAGAAGGCCCAGGAGAAAGGAUAAGUCAAUGCGGUUUCUUGCAUGUUACUUCUGACGACCACCAAACAGAAGGCGGGGUUUCUUUGGCAAGUCCAACAAAGGGAGGGCGAUGGAGAUGGAGUGAGGGCGCCUCUCCUCCCUGUCACCAGGAGAGACACGUGGAGACUGUUAGAGAAGACAGGUGCUCAAAAGCCAGGGCGAGGGGCCUCACUGGAACGAACCGAAUCAUAGGAGGAUUCUAUAGACUCCAGCACUGUGAGAAGCUAUUCAGGUUCAGGUUGGUUGUCAUAGCAACCUAAACAGAUGUGUAGAGCUGGCCAGUAGUGGACCUCUGAUUCAAGCUUAGGUCUCUGUAUGUUCCUGCUGGUGAGGUUCAAAUCCUAACCCUGCCCUUUCCCGACUGGGCACCUUUGGUGAAAUACAUCUCUUCUCUGUGACCAAGCCCCUUCCAUGGCCUUAGUGUCCCUGGCUGUCAUGACCAAGGUUCAAUUCACUUAGCGAUCCUAAUGCAAAUAGCUCCCGGUCUAUGCAGUAAAUUCCUCGCAGGGUGGCCAGAAUACAAGGUCAAUCUUGGGGCUCCAAACUGUCAGACUCGCUCAGACCAGCGUCUUCUGCCAAACUCAGAGAGGCAGGCAUCUGAAGCACUAACUGUGCCUUCCAUUUGCUGCCCAGUGAACCCAACCAGCAUCCUUGUAAGCCAGGCACAGCUGAACCUCAGAGCCUUCCCACUGGUUCCUCCCAGCCCCACUCCCACCUUCCUGGAGCGCCUGCCCCCUGCUAGGCUGGCUUCCUCACUUUCCUAGAGUCUUGGGUAAACUGUGGUUCAGACAGCUAGCAGGAUUCCUACAGCCAUAGUCUCACAGGACUCUGAUGCUACCAACAGGGAAUCUUUGCCCAUAAGUAGCUUUAAAGAAGACAAGUCUGAGAGCUUGUCUGAAGGUUCUGGCACAGUGCUUCUCAACCUGCGAGUCUUGAACCCUUAGGGGAUCAAACCAACCUUUCACAGGGGUUGUGUAUCUGUUCUCCUGCAUAUCAAAUAUUUACAUUAUGGGUCAUAAUAGCAAAAUUAGUUAUGAAACAGCAACAAAAACAACUAUAUGGUUGGGGCUCACAACACGAGGGACCUAUUAAAGGGUCAAAACAUUAGGAAGGUUGAGAACCACUGUUUCAGCAGGAGAGGCAGCUACUCGUAUGCUCUUGACAGAGGACCAGCCCUCCUUAGUUCCCACAGUUCCCUCAGGGUGUCUUCUUCCCCUGGGCAAGCACACAGCUUUGCAAGGGGCACACAAGGAGCAGUGAGAGAGACAGAGAGAGGGAGCAUCCACCUAGCCAGCCAGUGUAUACAUAAAGGUGAUCAGUGGGUUGAGAGAUCAUCCUUGUAUCCAGAAACGACUUUGAAAGAAACCUCUGAAGUUGGGUGAGGAAGAUAGUUUGGCGGCCAUUGCUGGGCUGGUCACAAAAUUAUCAUGAAAAGUACCCAGUGAGGAAAGAGGUGACUGGGGUGGAGGCAGGGCUCAGCUGGACUCUCCCCGGCAUCUGUAAAGGGUGUGCACUUCUGCUCCUGUGCCCUGGGUUAGAGUUCUAAGGCGCUCUCCCUGAGGUUCUCCUGGCAAAGUCAAUGGUGGAAGCCCCUGUUGACACUGGUAACGGGCCAAUGGGAACCCCCUCAGGACUGAAAUAAGCUAGAGCCUGAGAGGUUUUGGGUUCAUCCAGAGACAUGGGAGGACUCCAAGAGGAUCUGCUGUGGCCCUGUGGGCAGUCUGCCAAUCAUAAAAUGCCCUGUGGUGAAUGCAUCGAGACUUCUUGAUUGAGACAGUGAGAUUAAAAAAAAAAGGGGGGGGGUGGGAUUUAGCUCAGUGGUAGAGCGCUUACCUAAGAAGCGCAAGGCCCUGGGUUCGGUCCCCAGCUCCGAAAAAAAGAACCAAAAAAAAAAAAAAAAAAGGCCUUCCCAAGUUGGCAAUGGUACCGUGAGAUCAAUGCAGAAUGUGUGUGGUUGUGAGUCCAAGAGCCCGGUGAACAUCUUUCACGGUUCUGGUACUCGGAAUGAGGCAUUCUCUCUCCCCCCCAUCCCU